rnacentral:rRNA from 1 species
CGGGGGGGGCAAGCGUUGUUCGGAAUUACUGGGCGUAAAGGGCUCGUAGGUGGCCAACUAAGUCGGACGUGAAAUCCCUCGGCUUAACCGGGGGACUGCGUCCGAUACUGGUUGGCUUGAGUUUGGGAGAGGGAUGCGGAAUUCCAGGUGUAGCGGUGAAAUGCGUAGAUAUCUGGAGGAACACCGGUGGCGAAGGCGGCAUCCUGGACCAAUACUGACGCUGAGGAGCGAAAGCCAGGGGAGCAAACGGGAUUAGAUACCCCGGUAGUCCUGGCCCUAAACGAUGAAUGCUUGGUGUGGCGGGUAUCGAUCCCUGCCGUGCCGAAGCUAACGCAUUAAGCAUUCCGCCUGGGGAGUACGGUCGCAAGGCUG